GAGAUUUUAAUUUAAUUAAAGUAUCUGAGUUGCAUUCAGGAGAUGUAGAUUAGUAUUCUGCAAAUUUCA
rnacentral:tRNA from 1 species